GGCAGCGUGGCGUAGUGGUUUGAACAUUGGGGGCUGUGACUCUGGAGACCAGGGUUCGAAUCCCGGCUCUGCCA